GGCGGGUCUCCCCGCAUUGUGGUGCAGCAAACCUGGUCAGGUCCGGAAGGAAGCAGCCAUAGCUGAUUACCGCAAGUGCCGGGGGUAAGGCUCGCCUCC
rfam:Gallionellales bacterium GWA2_59_43 gwa2_scaffold_6586, whole genome shotgun sequence.